GACGAACGCUGGCGGCGUGCCUAAUACAUGCAAGUAGAACGCUGAAGAGAGGAGCUUGCUCUUCUUGGAUGAGUUGCGAACGGGUGAGUAACGCGUAGGUAACCUGCCUGGUAGCGGGGGAUAACUAUUGGAAACGAUAGCUAAUACCGCAUAAAAUUGAUUAUUGCAUGAUAAUUAAUUGGAAGAUGCAACUGCAUCACUACCAGAUGGACCUGCGUUGUAUUAGCUAGUUGGUGAGGUAACGGCUCACCAAGGCGACGAUACAUAGCCGACCUGAGAGGGUGAUCGGCCACACUGGGACUGAGACACGGCCCAGACUCCUACGGGAGGCAGCAGUAGGGAAUCUUCGGCAAUGGGGGGAACCCUGACCGAGCAACGCCGCGUGAGUGAAGAAGGUUGUCGGAUCGUAAAGCUCUGUUGUAAGAGAAGAACGGGUGUGAGAGUGGAAAGUUCACACUGUGACGGUAUCUUACCAGAAAGGGACGGCUAACUACGUG
rnacentral:rRNA from 1 species